rnacentral:rRNA from 1 species
AUGCAGGAGAGUGCUAGGAAGGAUGUGGAGCGUGCUUUCGGUGUGCUUCAGUCUCGGUGGGGUAUCGUUCGUAACCCUGCGUUGACAUGGAGCGCGAAGAAGCUUUGGGGGGUGAUGACUGAUCGUGCGAUCAUGCACAACAUGAUUGUGGAGGAUGAGCGCGAUGAUAGCAUCUACGACCAAGGGUUUGAUUUCCAGGGUGAAAAUGUUGAGCCUGAGCAUGUGCAACCUUUGAACAGUUUGUCGAGCUUCAUCGGGAAUUGCGUCAUUGGCAUACUCAUGUCCAGCUCCAGGAUGACUUGGUUGAGCACAUGUAGACUCACAUUGGCAACAAUAGAUCUAUCAUUUUAA